ACCAGCAUAGUUUAAUGGUUUGAAUGUUGGACUGUGACUCUGGACAACUUGGGUUCGAUUCCCAUCUCGGCUG